GAAAAUAAGUGCAACAUGCCAGAAAUCCAGUAAAGCAGUUCAAGUAUCAGAAGAGCGUGAAUCAAAACCAAGUGCAAGAAGAGGCACCUUGACAUUGAACUGAAGGCCACCAGGUACUCACUGGGUCAAUGACUCUUCUCAUUUUUAUUCUCCUGCCAGUGCUUCCAAUCGCUGAACUGAACUGGGAACAAAUCAACAAGGGAAACCAAGAGAUGCAUUCCUUGAAGUUCAGCCUCCAGGCCUCAAGUAAGGCAGAGGAAGAGAAUACAUAGAUCUGUGGAGAAGAGUGGUGAUGGUGGGAGCUGCCAAUAAAGAACUAUCAAAAAAGGAUGAUGCAACAGAAAAGCCGUCACCAGAUACCAGCACCUUAAUGUUGGACUUCUCAGCCUCCAGAACUGUAAGAAAUAAAUCCCUGUUCUUUA
rnacentral:lncRNA from 10 species